UUUUGCCUGCAGGUACAUAUAUUUCUAAUCAGGAGUUGUUGUAACUUCGACAUUUUUUAAAUUUUGGGGACUAUAAUUUCAUAAAGUAAAAACAUAAAACAAAAUAAUUCUACUGCCUACAAUUUUAUAGGAAUGAAAUGCAUUUGAAAUUUGUGGUUGUCAAAAGGGAGUGUUGUAUUACUGAUUUUAUUCUCAUGAUGCCCUGGGCUUUAACUAUACCGUACAGGAAUUUUGUGUCCAAAAUAUUACCAAUGAAAAGAAAAAAAAUAUAAUAUUCAAAGUCAUAUUUAUUUAUUUAUUUUAUGUUUUAGACAAUUACAAAAAAAGAUUUAUAUUUCUGGUUGAUAUCUAUAUACUGUAUAAAGUACUUGGUAGGCUAAAUACAUGCAUGAGAAAGAUAUGUUUAAGAAUAAUUGAUAGUUGUGACAUGAUUGGAUGGAAGUGUAGCAUUUUG
rnacentral:misc_RNA from 1 species